rnacentral:rRNA from 1 species
AUGGUGGUAACGGGUAACGGGGUGUUAGGGCACGACACCGGAGAGGGAGCCUGAGAAACGGCUACCACAUCCAAGGAUGGCAGCAGGCGCGCAAAUUACCCAAUCCCGACACGGGGAGGUAGUGACAAUAAAUAACAAUACGGGGUUCUUUUGGAUCUUGUAAUUGGAAUGAGUACAAUUUAAAUCUCUUAACGAGGAACAAUUGGAGGGCAAGUCUGGUGCCAGCAGCCGCGGUAAUUCCAGCUCCAAUAGCGUAUAUUAAAGUUGUUGCAGUUAAAAAGCUCGUAGUUGAAUUUCGAGACCGGUCUACUGGUCGUGCUUUUGUACGUACUGGUAUAAUCGGUUUCUCUCUUCUGACGAACUAUAAUGCCAUUAAUUUGGUGUUUUAGGGAAUCAGGACUGUUACUUUGAAAAAAUUAGAGUGUUUAAAGCAGGCUCACGCUUGAAUACAUUAGCAUGGAAUAACGAAAUAGGACGUUUGAUUCUAUUUUGUGGGUUUCUAGGAUCGACGUAAUGAUUAAUAGGGAUAGUUGGGGGCAUUAGUAUUCAAUUGUCAGAGGUGAAAUUCUUGGAUUUAUUGAAGACUAACUACUGCGAAAGCAUUUGCCAAGGAUGUUUUCAUUAAUCAAGAACGAAAGUUAGGGCAUCGAAGACGAUCAGAUACCGUCGUAGUCUUAACCAUAAAUUAUGCCGA